rnacentral:rRNA from 1 species
GACGAACGCUGGCGGCGUGCCUAAUACAUGCAAGUCGAACGCAUUUUCUUUCACCGUAGCUUGCUACACCGAAAGAAAAUGAGUGGCGAACGGGUGAGUAACACGUGGGUAACCUGCCCAUCAGCGGGGGAUAACACUUGGAAACAGGUGCUAAUACCGCAUAAUUCCAUUUACCGCAUGGUAGAUGGGUGAAAGGCGCUUUUGCGUCACUGAUGGAUGGACCUGCGGUGCAUUGGCUAGUUGGUGGGGUAACGGCCUACCAAGGCUGCGAGGCAUAGCCGACCGGAGAUGGUGGGCAGCCAGACUGGGAGUGGGACACGGCACAGACUGCUACGGAAGGCGGCAAGAGGGAAUCGUCGGCAAUGGGCGCAAGUCUGACCGAGCAGGGCGGCGUGAGUGAAGAACGUUGUCGGGUCGUAAAACUCUGUUGUUAGGGAAGAACAAGGUUGAGCGUGGAAAGUUCAUCCAUUGACGGUAUCUAGUCAGAAAGCAACGGCUAACUACGUG